rnacentral:rRNA from 1 species
UGCCAGCAGCCGCGGUAAUACAGAGACUCCAAGCGUUAUUCGGAAUCACUGGGCUUAAAGGGUGCGUAGGCGGGCAAGUAGGUCAGAUGUGAAAGCCCACGGCUCAACCGUGGAAUUGCGUUUGAAACCACUUGUCUUGAGGGGAUCAGAGGAGAGCGGAACUGAUGGUGGAGCGGUGAAAUGCGUUGAUAUUAUCAGGAACACCGGUGGCGAAAGCGGCUCUCUGGGAUCUUUCUGACGCUGAGGCACGAAAGCUAGGGGAGCGAACGGGAUUAGAUA